rnacentral:lncRNA from 1 species
GUGCUCUCGGAAUGAGGCGCAUUCUGCAUAUUCAGAGUACAGUGCGCUUUGAUGCUCCAUUUUAGAAAAAUAAAUAAAUAAUUUUGACUUCAUAAUCGUGGACAGGUCCAUUUACAUAACAGCACCUGUCCAUCAUUUAGCUCUCAUAUAACGUCCAGUAGCCUGAUGUUUCAUAACCCAGUUAUUUGUUUUGCGCACGCGUGAUCGUCACAUUUAUAACUGUUCCUAUAGCGAACUUGAGUUGUGUAAGUUUAAAAUCAGUGAGACAGCACGGUUUUGGAGAGGGAGAACCUUUCAUAAGUUUUCCGCGCAAGCUCCUCCCAGAUUCCUGCUGAUGCGCCUCAUGACAUUACAUAUUGACGCUUCACAUAUGGAGAGAGCUGAGGAACCUUUAACAGUUAAUACAGCCUCUCUGGAGAACUCGACGAUGGAAACCCUCAACAGACAGAAGGAAACCGUAUUCAGCCUGGUGCAGGUGAAGGGGACGUGGAAACGCAAAGCAGGGCAAAAUGUGAAGCAAGGAAUAAAAGGACGAGUGUCAGCUGCCAAAAUUUACGAAAGCACCUCCUCUAGUGGCACCACCUGGACAGUGGUCACCCCCAUCACCUUCACAUAUACAGUUACUCAGACCAAAAACCUUCUUGACCCCAGCAAUGACACUCUGCUUUUGGGCCACAUCAGAGACACUGAGCAGCUUGAGGCUGUACGGUCCAGCACCAAGCCCUUAAAACGCUUCAUAGUCAUGGAUGAGGUAGUAUACAAUCUCUAUGGUUCUCAGAUCACUGACUACCUCGAGGCCAGACACGUCCUGUACCAGAUCAUGCCCCUGCCCACGACAGAGGAGAACAAGUCCAUGGAAAUGGCCCUGAAGAUCCUGGAAGAAGUCCACCAAUUUGGCAUCGAUCGGCGCAACGAGCCCAUCAUCGCCAUCGGAGGUGGGGUCUGCCUGGAUAUUGUGGGUCUCGCUGCGUCCCUCUACAGAAGGCGCACUCCAUACAUUCGUGUUCCCACUACCCUUUUGUCAUACAUCGAUGCAAGCGUCGGAGCAAAGACGGGUGUUAAUUUCGCAAAUUGCAAGAAUAAGCUAGGCACCUACAUCGCACCUGUUGCUGCCUUUUUGGACAGGUCGUUUAUACAGACAAUUCCUCGCAGACACAUAUCUAAUGGUCUUGCAGAAAUGUUGAAGGUAUUGCAAUAUUUAUUGUUAAAGGUUUUGUUAUUACACCACUCUGCAUCAUAUUUGCCGUAUGAAAUCCAAUACUUGUUUCUUGCUAAUUUUGGGGUGCUGAUUCCAAAAAUGCUGCCUGUUUUUCUCUAGCACAUCACAAUU